CAGAACGGUGUUGGCUCCGACACACUGGUCUGGCUCUGACACACUGGUCUGACGCACUUCCUGGACUCGUGGCACUGACCAAAGUCUCUCUUCCACUCCUCACUCUGCUAUUUGCCAGUCGCUUCAUUAACUGCUCAUUUCUCUAAUGUCUUGAAUGAUGAACAUGUUUAGGUUUGAUUGUCACUCUGCUGCACUGUAACCCAAAUAAAGCACCGCUCUGUAACUGGUGCAGGGGCCUUCAGGAAACUUCCACUGGGCAUUAAAAACAAACUCUGUGUCAGCAGCUAAUGGGCGACUUUGUGGCUGAGCAGGAUAGAACUGGGUGCCUGAGGUCAGUGUUGGGCCCUUGGUCUGACCCGGCUUCCUCUAAGAUGUAUGUUGCUUUGGAUGAAAACAUCUGAUAAAUAAAUGAUCUGAUAAAUAAGUGA